AAACUAUGAUGUGGGCACUUUCUUAAUAAGUCCUUGAAUCUUUCCCAAGCUUCUUACAAAACUCUUUUGAUCAUUGGUGGCAAAGGUUCAUUAUUCCAUUGCGCAGUUU